UCGAGCGGGGGUGGGGGGUGACUCUCACUUCAGCGGCGGACGGGUGAGUAAUGCAUCGGAACGUAUCCUUUAGUGGGGGACAACCCAGCGAAAGCUGGGCUAAUACCGCAUAUUGCUCGGGAGAGGAAAGCAGGGGACCUGAAAGGGCCUUGCGCUACGGGGGCGGCCGAUGUCCGAUUAGCUGGUUGGUGAGGUAAAGGCUUACCAAGGCGACGACCGGUAGCUGGCCUGAGAGGAUGAUCAGCCACACUGGGACUGAGACACGGCCCAGACUCCUACGGGAGGCAGCAGUGGGGAAUUUUGGACAAUGGGGGCAACCCUGAUCCAGCCAUGCCGCGUGCGGGAAGAAGGCCUUCGGGUUGUAAACCGCUUUUGGCCGGGAAGAAAGGGUUCUGGAUAAUACCCAGGACUGUUGACGGUACCGGCAGAAUAAGCACCGGCUAACUACGUGCCAGCAGCCGCGGUAAUACGUAGGGUGCGAGCGUUA
rnacentral:rRNA from 1 species